UACGUAGGGUGCAAGCGUUAAUCGGAAUUACUGGGCGUAAAGCGUGCGCAGGCGGUUUUUGUAAGUUUUGUCGUGAAAUCCCCCGGGCUCAACCUGGGAAUUGCGAUGAAGACUGCAAGGCUAGAAUCUGGCAGAGGGGGGGUAGAAUUCCACGUGUAGCAGUGAAAUGCGUAGAGAUGUGGAGGAACACCGAUGGCGAAGGCAGCCUUCUGGGCCAAUACUGACGCUCAUGCACGAAAGCGUGGGGAGCAAACAGG
rnacentral:rRNA from 1 species